GUGGCUUGCCGUUCAUCGAAAGGAGAGGGCACUACCGGAAGUAGGAGACUGAAACCCAACUCAUGCUCGCCGGAGACACUUGGACUUUAGAUCCCCGGGUGUUCGGCGGGAUGGAUACAAACCGAGGAGGGAAGUUGAACGAAGGAAGAACGCCAAGUUGUUAUAUGUUUGCGGGAGGACGAUUUACGAGAUUUGAGGAGGAUCGUGGGCGAGAAGCGAACUAGAAGAUGAGGCGAUGACGAGCAUGCAAAGGAAUUAUCCGAGGAGUUUGGCAAAUUUUGGACUAAAGACGCAAGUCCGAACAUAAAGUGUCACGCUUUUCAGGCGGAAAUUGAUGUAGCGGUCGAGGCGAAGGCACACGGGGCUGUUGGCUAUAGAGAGUUCCAACACAUUUGAGUCGAGUUUCUUUGUACCUACCUUUAAAUCCGGCCUUUCACGUAUUUUAAAUAGUUGUCUGAAAGAUGUUGUA